UUCCAGAUGAGAUUGUACCGAUGUGAAGGAAGGAGGGGAAGGGUCUGUGUUGGACGAGUUGCAGUAGUGAGUCAAUUGUGCAUUGCAGCAGGUAAUUGUUUGAGAAAUUGUUUGAAGAGGGUGGAGAGAGAGAGGUUGAACGGCUUUUAUGGGUCACGGUCACAUGGCGUGGGCGUGACACUGAUCCCGCUGGUUUGGUCAGAAAUGGCCCUUAAGAAUCAUUAAGUAGAGUUCCACCUGGCCUGUUUUAAGGUAUUUUGGGCGUACGGGGUCUUUGCGACUGUGCUGCGAUGCGUCUUUCUCUUGGCUUCUUUAAUUUGCACGGAAGGAGAGAGAAAGAGGGAGAGAGCGAGAGCGAAGCGAGUGUAAGAGGAGGACAAUGGACGAGCGGAUGAGAAGAAAUUGGUUGUGAGUGGAGGAGGAUCGUGGGGGUCUGCAGAGUUGAGUUGGAGUAAUGGCAGACGAAGUGAAGUCGCUAUGGAAUCGGUAUUUGAGCAACUUGCAGCAGCACCCGUUGCGCACCAAAUUAAUGGAGAGGAGCACAGUGGAAUGAAAAUGUAAUAGGCAGAGGCCAUUACAUCAGGAACAUCAGGAGUAUUGGCAGGAAGUGCUGACAUGGUUGCUCAGAAGUUGGCUGGAGCGAAGAAUCUGCAGUUUAAGCGUUCUUUUCUUCUCAUGGUUGGGACUUGAAGGCUUAGUGGAUGCGUGUUGCAAAUGUUUUAAGUCGUCAAAAUGCACACUUUAAUGUAGCUAUGUUUAUGACAUCUGACCAAGUACAUAACAAUACUUGCAAAGUUACUAUGGUUGUCUCAAUUUUUUCAGCUUGAGAAUUGGCCUUCACUGGUGAUCAACAAUGAUUCUCUAAAUUUUGGCCCGAAGACCUGGAUCUUAGUGCUUCUCCUGUCUAGUUCCUCCUGCCAAUUGUAUUUCCUGGGUUGCAGCUCUAUGGUUUCUGUUAUUCAGGACCAUUCGGACAUUACUUCCACUGGCUUAUGGAGAAACUCGUCCCUGCAGCUCGCGAUAGCAAGACAAUAGUCAGCAAGUUAUUGUGGAGCAGCUGACAUCUAGCCCAUGGAACAACUUUCUUUUUAUGACCUACCUUGGUAUGGUGGUUGAAGGGAGAAAAUGGAGCUCGGUUAAGAGUCAGCUUAAAUCACAUUUUCCAUCCGUACAGCUAAAUGCUUGGAGGUUCUGGCCGUUGGUCGGGUUGAUUAAUUACAAGUACCUUCCCAUUCAGCUGCGAGUUCUUUUCCACAACUUAGCAGCUGUGUGCUGGGGAAUAUUCUUGAUACUUCGUUCCAAGGCAUCGGUUCCCAAACUUGCCACUGCAUAGAGCAUUGUAAGAGGCUGUAGAAGUCCGGGUGAGUGCUUUACCUAGGAUCCAGAUCUUACGUAAAGUUCUUGACUGUUGGUGUAUAAUAGUUGCUAGUUUUGAUUUCUUUUUUUGUGUAACAGAAUUUCAUGAUGCAGAAUUUUGAGAUCUCGGAUAAAUCUUAGUAAACUGAAACACGUUAAUUAUUUCUUUGUAGAAAACCAUCCAGCUUUUGCACUUAAUUCAUCGAUUACUCUUUUUCAACUAAAUCACCUAUUGCCCUUGCCCUUCUUGUUAAUCGAAACAUCUUUCAAUUUCGCCAUUUUAAUCUCCAGAAUCCAACGGUUGGAUUGAAACACGUUUAUCUUAUAGAAAUACUUCUGGUGCAAUCCUCUUUGGAAUUUGCAUGCCUGUGCCUUGUGAGGUUUUACGGAGAUGAAGUAUCAGGGAAAGUUAGGAAACUAAUGGUGCCAUCAGAUGGAAUCUGUACACAUAUAUUUUUAAUUGGGGAUGGAAAGACAAGACUGUAGUCUCUACCUGAGGGAAGUAAAUCCCUCUUCAAUCUAAAUAUGCAUUACUA